rnacentral:rRNA from 1 species
GACGAACGCUGGCGGCGUGCUUAACACAUGCAAGUCGAACGGAAAGGCCCUGCUUUUGUGGGGUGCUCGAGUGGCGAACGGGUGAGUAACACGUGAGUAACCUGCCCUUGUCUUUGGGAUAACUUCAGGAAACUGGGGCUAAUACCGGAUAGGAGCUCCUGCUGCAUGUUGGGGGUUGGAAAGUUUCGGCGGUUGGGGAUGGACUCGCGGCUUAUCAGCUUGUUGGUGGGGUAGUGGCUUACCAAGGCUUUGACGGGUAGCCGGCCUGAGAGGGUGACCGGACACAGUGGGACUGAGAUACGGCACAGACUCCUACGGGAGGCAGCAGUGGGGGAUAUUGCACAAUGGGCGGAAGCCUGAUGCAGCAACGCCGCGUGCGGGAUGACGGCCUUCGGGUUGUAAACCGCUUUCGCCUGUGACGAAGCGUGAGUGACGGUAAUGGGUAAAGAAGCACCGGCUAACUACGUG